GACGAACGCUGGCGGCGUGCUUAACACAUGCAAGUCGAACGGAAAGGCCCUGCUUUUGUGGGGUGCUCGAGUGGCGAACGGGUGAGUAACACGUGAGUAACCUGCCCUUGACUUUGGGAUAACUUCAGGAAACUGGGGCUAAUACCGGAUAGGAGCUCCUGCUGCAUGGUGGGGGUUGGAAAGUUUCGGCGGUUGGGGAUGGACUCGCGGCUUAUCAGCUUGUUGGUGGGGUAGUGGCUUACCAAGGCUUUGACGGGUAGCCGGCCUGAGCGGGUGACCGGCCACCUUGGGACUGAGGUACGGCCCAGACUCCUACGGGGGGCAGCAGUGGGGGAUAUUGCACAAUGGGCGGAAGCCUGAUGCAGCAACGCCGCGUGCGGGAUGACGGCCUUCGGGUUGUAAACCGCUUUCGCCUGGGACGAAGCGUGAGUGACGGUAAUGGGUAAAGAAGCACCGGCUAACUACGUG
rnacentral:rRNA from 1 species